GGCCCUUGCAGCGCGUCCGCCUAGACCGUCUGCCGACCUUCCCAGAAAAUAGGCCCAGACUUUACAAGCACAAAGAAAACACUCACCAGCCGGCGUUGACCCUCCGUGCACGGGAGUCCUGAAGGUCUUGGGGUCCCGGACGAGCCCCCAAAUGUUGUGCCCAGAUCGCGAUGUCCCAAAGACCACCAGGAGACCGUUUCCGAUAUGGGAGCAGCUUCGUGAAGAUGGGGUUCAUCAUGCUGGAUAUGCGGUAACCAUGAAGGAUGAGGUGGUCCUAGGCAGGACCGUCCAUGCAAUGUGCUAAGCUCUGGGCACUCAUACAGGCACUCCGAUGGGCGAAGGGUAAAAAAGGCAGAAUUGACUACUUUAUGGCUGGUUACUGCUUCAUCCUGUGCCACCUGCCCUCCCAUCAUGAGGCCCUUACCAGAAGUCAAGCAGAACCCAAGCAGAUGGUGGUGCCAUGCUCCCAGCCUCCAAAACCCUGAGCCAAAAUAAACCUUCCUUGGAAAUCGG
rnacentral:lncRNA from 1 species